CAGUGGGCAAGGGGAACCUACGGCUAUUUAUAUGGAGGGCUGUCCUCCAGCCCUCCCCAGAUCUGGAAACAGGAUGCACAUGAACUAGAAGUACGAUGUGCAGGAUAACCGUAAUGAAAACCUGGCUCGACAGCAGCUCGUAUCAGCAGAGCCUAAUAGAACCAGCUGUGGAGCCUGGACAGGCCAACAGUGUGACACGGCGGCCCUUCUCCCACUGCGAAUGCCACCUUGAUGUUCAAAACAUUGCAGAGGAAUCCAUGAAAGUGGUUACCUGACUGGAACAGAGAAGAGCCUGUAAGGACAGAGCCUAGUUCAGAGAGCUGUCCGGUAAGGCCUGAGCUUCAGGGGGCUGCUUGGAGCAUGGUCCGGGCGUACCUCAACAAAAUACCUGGAAAAACCAGAAGCAACGGGCAUAAUUCUCAACCGACCAGAUUGAGAAGGAUUUGUCUGGGCUAGGAGCAGAAGGAAUGGUGGACCGAGGAAAUGAAGAAGGGCAGAGGAGCCCAGAAAAGCUGAUUGUCAUCUUAAUUUGUUUCAGUCAUGUUCGAACUCUGAUCAGCGUGUGCCCUAGCUGGCUGACUGCCCUGUGUUGUGCUGAGGACCCGGAGCACACAUGAAUGCCUGGACUGCAGUGACCAGGAAAACUCCAAGGAGAAUCUCUGGGAGAGAAGCCCCCAUGCCCUCUGACGGGAACUCCAGCUAAGCGAAAGCGGGAUGUGAAGGUGCUCUGUAGACUGUAGAAUGUAAGAGAGUCCCCUCCUUCCUCCUUUUCCUCCCUCUUUCCUCCUUCUCCGCCCCACGCCUCCAUCUGUUGAGCAGCGGCUGCUGAGCAGGCACUCGGCAUAGGGAGAGACACACGAAGAUGGUCAGAACACAGGUCCUGCUCCCACAAUUCAUGGUGGAGAGGGGAGAUCAGACACACGAAUAAGUGACAUUUCUUUGAUUUUAAGAUGCACUCCCAAUAUAAUAAGAGUUUUGGAGAGGGAAAAAAAAAAUCAGAAACAGUACCACACUAAAUGUACACGUUUGCAAAACAUCCUCAUCUUAGAAACAUACAGAUGUGGAAAAAGGGCAUGUUUGAAAAUGAGCCUGUGGGCAGAGUAGUCACAAUAGAAGUAGGUACAGUGACCUAUCAGAACAUAAAAAUGUCGGGGGGGAAAUCUCUGUCUUAGGAGUAGUAGUUGCAGUGGUGUGAUCAUUGUCAUAAGAGCGGGGGCACAGGGUGCCCCUGGAACCCCCUGCAGGGAGCUCUGAGUGGUGCCUGGGGACACCACGUAAGGCUUCAGUGGGAGGUGGUGUUCCGGGGCCACCUUCCAGGUGACUAAUGGUGGACAGGCAUGGAUGGGUAAAGAGGCCCGAGGAGGGGGUCCCAGGCAGGGGAGCAGGUCUGGCAGAGGCAGGAGACAAAAGAGAGUGCGGUGCAUUCCGGGAGCAGCUGCUUGUCAUCCUGUAGGUGGUUACUAAUAGUGGAGGAACAGAGGGGGCCCUCCGUCUGGACGCGCCUCAUCACAAAGACAACAGGGAGGGAGAGGUAGGCUUCAUAGCGUAACAGAGUGAGGCGUCUCUGCUAAACUUGCCCAUCUCUUGGAAAGUUCCUCUGUUUUCUAUUUACAUAAGUCAUAAAUUGAUUGCCUAAUGCAAAAAUGAUGUGUUCUCCAAUAGUUAGGAAAUACAACAGAUUUCAAUCAAUAGAUUCAAAAUUCUUCAUUACAUCUGCUUGCUUAUUCCCUUAAACCUUUUCUCCAGAGGAAGUAUGCCCUUUAGAAGUGAUUGAUGGUGUUGCUCCUGUGGGCACAUGCACUUCUUACAGGUUCUUCUCUCUCUCUGUCUCCCUCUCGCUCUUUCUCUCUUUUCCCCUUCCCCCUGGUUGUCAAGCAGCUGCUCGGCUGCAACACUAGGCAGGCACCAAGGAAUGUAUUUUUUUGCUCAGAUGUGUGUGUGCGCGCGAGGCUCUCUGAAUUGCAUCCUCACAGAAUAACAUUUGGGUGUGGGCAUGAUGAGGAUGCUAUUAGCAGGAAAUUCAUUUAUGUUGGUCCCAGGACAGUGAGAAAGCUACCAACAGUGUUGAAAGAAAGCCAAGUAAACAGUCUGGAAAGUCCUUCCUAGGGCGGCCUGGUAAAAGAGAUGGACAGUACUGGAUUAAUUAGGACAUUCUUCUAGACUAUGCCUCUUUAUGCUCCUGGGGGGAUGGAUAUUUUCUGGGGGCAGAGAAGCACCCCUCUGGUCCUUCUGUGUUCACUUCUUAGUUUAACCCAUCCUGGGCCAGGAGGAAAGAAUCCCCUGGCUUCUCCCUCUCUCUCGGGGCUCUUUCUCAGCCCUGGGAGGGCCAUGAGCUGUCAGAGCACCCACUAGGAUGGAAAACAACCCACCACCCUGGCUCCUCCUCCUGGUUCUGCCACUGGAGCCUCUUUGGAUCAUGUUUCCUCAUCUGUGAAAUCAGCCUGUUUACUAGUUAAUCUCUAAGAUUGUGCCUCAGCUCUAUGACAGUAACUCAGACAAGCAUAGAGUGGCUGAAUGUUUAUACUGUGUGCCAGGCAUUCUGCUGAGAGCCUUCCUCAUUCAAUCCCCACGGCAACUCUGUGUGGUUCAUACUCUUAUUGUCCCAUUUUACAAAUGACGCACUGAGGCUCUGGCAUAAUAGCUACCUCAUCCUGGGGAAUGUAAGUGUCAGAACCGGAAUGAGGGUAUGUCUCUGGUUCUGUAGCCCACAUGUUUGAUAUGUUUUCUUAGUCAGGCUGCUGUAACGAUACCCAUUGACUUGAUGGUUUAAACAACAAACAUUUAUUUCUCACAGUUUGGUGGCUGGGAAGUCCAAGAUCAAGAUGCCCACAGAUUCUGUGUCUGAUGAAAUCUCUCUUCCCAGUUUACAGAUGGCCACCUUCUUGCUAAGUCCAGAGAGAGAGAGACAGAAUUCUAGCCUCUUCCUCUUCUUAUAAGGACAUUAAUUCCAUCAUGAGGAUCCUACCCUUAUGAACUCAUUAAAUCUAGGCCUGUCCCAAAGGCCCUACCUCCUAGUAUCACCACAUUGUGAUGUUAGGGCUUUGACAUAUGAAACAUUCAGCCCAUAGCAGACAUUAUGCAGUUUUGCCUCCUUCCAUGAUUUGGAGGGAGUGUGGGUGAGAUUUGAGUCACCCUUAGAAGCAGUAGGAGGGCACGCUUCUCUCCACCUCCAGCACAGUGCUGGAGAGGGAGUAAUCAGGGGCAAAGAUGCUGUGCCCACGAGCAGGACUCUGGGAGCUGGUGAACAGGGAUCCUGUGUAAGGUUUUUGAAGCCAGAUACUUGUUGGAGACAAGCUACUGCCUGGGACUAUCUGUGAUGAUUUGUGAACAUCCAGCCAUUAGUUCCACAAAUAUCUUUUGAACGACCUACACUCUUCUAGGGGCUGGGAAUGCAGUGGUGAACAAGACAGGGAACUUACAUUUUAGGAGGGAAAAAAGACAUCAACUAAUCCCACAAAUAAAUGGGUGAUUGAAAAUUGUGUUAAAUAUGAGGAAAGACUAUACAGAGUGCUGUGGAGUGUACAUAUUGGGGGCCAGAUCUGGUCCUGGUGGAAGAUGUGGUCAUCAAAGAUCUCCCUGAGGAAGUGGUUGCUGAGCAGAGAU